rnacentral:rRNA from 1 species
CACUAGUGAUUCUCCUGGAAACGGGUGGUAAUGCCGGAUGCUCCAGUUGGAUGCAUGUCCUUCUGGGAAAGAUUAUAUCGGUAUGGGAUGGGGUCGCGUCCUAUCAGGUAGUCGGCGGGGUAACGGCCCACCGAGCCUACGACGGGUAGCCGGCCUGAGAGGGCGACCGGCCACAUUGGGACUGAGAUACGGCCCAGACUCCUACGGGAGGCAGCAGUGGGGAAUAUUGCACAAUGGGCGCAAGCCUGAUGCAGCGACGCCGCGUGCGGGAUGACGGCCUUCGGGUUGUAAACCGCUUUUGAUCGGGAGCAAGCCUUCGGGUGAGUGUACCUUUCGAAUAAGCACCGGCUAACUACGUGCCAGCAGCCGCGGUAAUACGUAGGGUGCAAGCGUUAUCCGGAAUUAUUGGGCGUAAAGGGCUCGUAGGCGGUUCGUCGCGUCCGGUGUGAAAGUCCAUCGCUUAACGGUGGAUCCGCGCCGGGUACGGGCGGGCUUGAGUGCGGUAGGGGAGACUGGAAUUCCCGGUGUAACGGUGGAAUGUGUAGAUAUCGGGAAGAACACCAUCGAAUUC